rnacentral:rRNA from 1 species
GACGAACGCUGGCGGCGUGCUUAACACAUGCAAGUCGAACGGAAAGGCCCUGCUUUUGUGGGGUGCUCGAGUGGCGAACGGGUGAGUAACACGUGAGUAACCUGCCCUUGACUUUGGGAUAACUUCAGGCAACUGGGGCUAAUACCGGAUAGGAGCUCCUGCUGCAUGGUGGGGGUUGGAAAGUUUCGGCGGUUGGGGAUGGACUCGGGGCUUAUCAGCUUGUUGGUGGGGUAGUGGCUUACCAAGGCUUUGACGGGUAGCCGGCCUGAGAGGGUGACCGGCCACAUUGGGACUGAGAUACGGCCCAGACUCCUACGGGAGGCAGCAGUGGGGAAUAUUGCACAAUGGGCGGAAGCCUGAUGCAGCAACGCCGCGUGCGGGAUGACGGCCUUCGGGUUGUAAACCGCUUUCGCCUGUGACGAAGCGUGAGUGACGGUAUUGGGUAAAGAAGCACCGGCUAACUACGUG